AUAUUAAAAUAAAUAUAUAAUUAAUUAUUACUAACAUUAACUAAAUAACUUACUUGUUUAAUUUUUUUAAUUUUGGCAUCGCAGUUGAUUAUUGCCCGCUGCUGCUGCUUGGUGGCUCUUGGAGGUGAAGAACUGUGGCUGGUGAUUGUUUUCGAAAGAGAAAGGGAAAGUUUGAGAGUGAAUGAAUGAGAGGGAAGUGAGAGAGAGAGAGACGAAAGUGAAUGAAAUGCUGAGAGUGAGAGCGCGCGACCUAUUUGGAGAAAGAGGGGGGAGUCGCAACGAGUCACGUGUCUGCACGGCAGCGACGCGUGUCGCGCAUGCAGUGAAUAGGGGGAGACGGGUAGCUGUGAAACAAUUUAAAAUUUUGAGCUCACACUUCUUUGUUCCUUCACUUCUUGCUCCUUGGUAAUCAAGAAUCGUUUUUGUUGAGAUGGGGACGAUAAACGAAGUAAUCGAAGUGGAUGGGUUAGAGGCGAGGUUAUUGGACUUGGAGGGCGGUGAGAGUGAUGCGGUGCUGUAUGCGGCGUCGUUUGUAGAAAGCGAAGAGAAAUUUGUGAAAUACAACACAGUGCAAUGGGUGCUUUACUCGCUUCUUCUCAUAUUGGCAUGGGGAAUUGGCUUCCUCAUGUUGCUCUAUCUUCCUGUUAGGAGGUUUGUGCUCAGAACCGACAUACGCUCCAGAAAGCUCUACCUCACUCCUAAUUCCAUUGUUUACAAGGUUACGAGGCCAGUACCAUUUCCAUGUUUUGGGGUCCUGCAGAAAGAGAAGCAUGUUUUAUUGCAGAAUGUAGCUGAUGUUGUGGUUGAACAAGGAUAUUUGCAGUCACAUUUUGGUGUUUAUUCUCUUAGAAUUGAAAAUAUUGGUGUACGAAGACCACCUAGUGAUGAUGUUAAAAUCCAGGGUGUUGCAAAUCCACAUGCUUUCAGGAAGGCCAUAAUGAUGCGCCUAUCAAACAUGAGAAAUGAGAUGUUCUCGACACAGGUUUCUACAUUAGAUGUUCCACAUAUGAUGAUGUCUCCUUCAAAGUCAUUGAGACAAGAUUCCACUUCUGGAGAGCUGCUGCUGUUGCAGAAACUAGAGGAAGUUGGAAACUCUGUCAAGAAAAUUCAGAGUUUAUUUGAGGAGCAACAAUCUCAUACAGCAGAAUCUACAGAUUGAAGUUUGUGAAAAGUUCAUGUAACCUACUUUCCAGGGAUCCACUUGGCGUUCUUCAUCUUUCUCGGAAUAUGAUUCCCUUCACUGCAUGUAAUGGAAUCAUCGGGUAAUUUCAAAUCCUCAAUCAGUCUCCUGACUCUCUUCCAAGUUCCAAGCCUAAUUGCUACGUUAUUAACAUAAUAACAUCCCAUGCAACUAUUGAUGACACGCUAAGCAUUAUAGCUAGCCAUCAAUGUUUAAAUUUGUACUUUCUUGUGUAAAAUUGCGCUGAAUUGCGCCGUCUAUUAAUGUUAAAAGAAAAGAAGAAAUACCUUUAUUGUUAUACUAGUGUAUGAUGUAUCAAUGAUUCCAUUUCAAUUUUAUUUUAUUUUA